AGGGGAGAAGAGGCCUGCCAUACCCACUGGAGCUACUGACCAACGUGGGAGAAGGUCCUGGAGCACACCAAGAAGAAAAUGACCUGAUGUACUAGCCUGUAUAGAACUCAGAGACUGUUCUCAUUAGAAACAUUAUGAUUUUUUCCUCUUUGUAUUACUGACUGGAAAAAUUGGCCCUUAUUUUGAUUCACAUAUAUGUUUUUCUCACUUAGUCCUCAUACAUAGGGAAGGGUUUGAGAAAGUGGAUAAGAAAUUUGGACUGGUAGUUUUCUAAGGAAUUGAAGUCAAGAAGAUAAAGAUCUUUAGCUAUUUAUUUAUCCUAACCAAAAUCAUGUCUCUAGAAAGUGUCUGAAGAAAUAUAUGGUUUACUUCCAAUCUAACUAGGAAGGCAUUUGUGAGGCAGAGUGUAGCAGAAUGAUACCUGAAUAGCAGCGAAGUUGGAGCUAUCCGAUUUUAUUUUGGACUGGGUCUCAUUUAUUUCGCCCCCCCCCCCCGACUUAAAACUCUGAAGCAUCAUAAGCCGUCUUUCCUCAGCCUUCUGCAUAGCUCGAUAUUACAUGUUGCUGAGCCUGGCUCAGAUUUAUUUUACAUUUUAAAAAUUUCAGACAGCUACCAUAUUUAUAAGAAAAUGUUUUAGUUAAUAUAGUUUAAAAACUUUAUAAACUUUAAUAAUCUUUGUUUUAUGCAUAUUUACAUUUAUAAAAAUAUAGACUCAGAAAAAAAUGGUGUUUUUAUCUGUCAUUGAAUUGUCAAGUUAUGUCUUGGUUUUAUACUGCUCUAUAUCGCAUGUAAUUUAAGUAAAACACAGGUAAAAUAGACAUUAAGUAUUUUAGAUUAUUGUGUUGUGCCUAUGUUAUACAUGAGUACAGAAGAAUGAAUAAGACUUAUUUUUAGUAGUUCUCAUGAUUUUACAGUUAGCUAGACAAAUUUAUUUUUAAACAAGUGUCCUUUGUUGCCCAGGAGCAAACUGCCUUAUCAUCCUAGCCAGGAUCAGACAUGUAUGACUGCACUGUGCUUGGCAUGGGGCUUUUAAAAUUAAAUUAGUUCUUUUAAAGUGGAUAGCUUAUUACUUGAAUAUGUAAUAUAAACAUUAUUUUUAUUAUUUCCUUAGCUUACUAAAAAAUACAUUUUUGAUUUAUUUUGAAAAUGAGUUCAUGUCUUGAAAUUUUAUAAGUGAUUAAGCAUUGGCAUUUAAUUUGCAUUAAGCCCCUGUUAUACUUAAGAAAGAUGUUUGAUACAAUAAACUUUAUUAACUAGGAGCAUAUGGAUUUGAUUUUUUUCUGGCUUAGCACAGAUAAUGAUAGAUCCAGUUGAUUUUUGUAGCUUUUGUAUAUUUUGAGUUACUCUUAAAAGUUCUGUUUCCAUCGGUAGAGUUUUAAAAAGUACCCUCUGCCCACAUGAACGUUUAUUUUUUAUGUUUAGGAUAAAUUUACUUACCAUUCAGCUCCAGUUGAAAAAUCCCACGGCAGACUGCAAUGCAGAACAUCAAGAUCACAGAAGAAAAAGUCCAAGUCACCCGAGAGGAGUAAAUAUUGCAUAAACACCAAGAACUACGAACAGCCUACGAUUUCCUCAAAGUCACACUCUCCAUCUCCCUACACAAAAAGACGGAUGUGUGAGCUUUCCGAAGACACUCGGCGGCGGCUGGCCCAUUUAAAUCUGGGACCCUAUGAAUUCAAAAAGGAAACAGAUAAGCCUCCAUUUGUGAUUAGACAUGUAUGUGCUCAUAAGCAUUUCCAUUUGAAACUUAUCAAAUCUACUCUGCCACUAAAAUAUUAUGCUGAAAUGGAUUUCAAUAAGUAGCUCAUAUAAAUAAUUUUCUUUCUUGAACUCUUAGCUAGAAGCUAGAGGUAGAAAACUAGCAUAAACCCAAUGAAUAUGCUUUUUUCCCCCCCUUUAUGCCUUUAAUGCUGAGGGACCGAGCUCCGUUAUGAAUGCCAUAUCAGCUCUUCUGAGUACCCAUCUACUCUCACCUUACACAGUGGGCAGUGUUAUAACUCGACAGUUGAACUUGGUUGUUAAAAUGCUAAAGUAGGGUUUUAAAGGAGAAAACAAAGUUUCCUAUAAUAAUUUCUUAUCAGAUACAUGAUUGUUGGCAUGCUUUUUGGGCUACUUUAUUGGGUUCUAUUAUCUACAACCCUUCCAACCAUUAUUCCUCACCAAUUGCCUCCAAACUGCCAACACUAGGUAGGAGAGAGAAGGAGUGGGAAAGGGGCCAUAUACCUUUUAAUUACUUCCUGUUGAUUUGGGGUAUUGGGUUCUUCAGGGCAAGUCCAAUCUCCAUCAUCAGGAUAUCUCCAGCAAAACAGCAACCUAGCAAUCCAGCAACAGCAAAAGCAGCAGCAGGAAGCAGCAGCAGCAGGAGGAACAGCAGCCACACCAGGCCCUCUUAGGGCUAUUGCAUUUACACCCUCCCUAGAGUUACCAAAAUUCCAGACAUAAACUAUUUGCAGCUGGAUAAAAUUACAACCCUUGUAGAGGAAAAGAUCAUAAUUAGCAGCUAUCGGCUGUGAACACUCUGAAGCAGCCCCGUAUCCAACACCUAGGAUUAAAACAAAAACAUAUUCACAUAACAUAACUGGGUUUUUAAAGAAAUCAAAGUUCUUACUAAACAUGGUCUAUAUUUUCACUUUCCGAAGUUAACUUUUUACUUGUUUUAUUGUUCUUUGAUUCACAAAAGGUUUUAGUUUUGGUCAGUAGCCCAUCUUUUGAUGUGUUUACCUCACUGUGACAUAUUUAUUGUUAGAAAAUGUAGUUGACCUUAUUUGUCAACUACAAGAUGAUCAGCAAAGAAAGGCACUGUUUCAGUUCAGCGUGUUUGCUAAGACCAGGUAGAAAAUUGGUAGACUCUUUGUAAGGAAGGCAGAGGAGGUCACUAUAGGAUGUUUUUAUUUUUGUCUAAUGU
rnacentral:lncRNA from 1 species